rnacentral:piRNA from 1 species
UCUGGUAUAACACUGCCAUCUGCAG